ACAGGGUGGUUAGUGGCGACGGGUGAGUAACACGUGGGCAAUCUGCCCUUCACUCUGGGACAAGCCCUGGAAACGGGGUCUAAUACCGGAUAACACUCUGUCCUGCAUGGGACGGGGUUAAAAGCUCCGGCGGUGAAGGAUGAGCCCGCGGCCUAUCAGCUUGUUGGUGGGGUAAUGGCCUACCAAGGCGACGACGGGUAGCCGGCCUGAGAGGGCGACCGGCCACACUGGGACUGAGACACGGCCCAGACUCCUACGGGAGGCAGCAGUGGGGAAUAUUGCACAAUGGGCGAAAGCCUGAUGCAGCGACGCCGCGUGAGGGAUGACGGCCUUCGGGUUGUAAACCUCUUUCAGCAGGGAAGAAGCGCAAGUGACGGUACCUGCAGAAGAAGCACCGGCUAACUACGUGCCAGCAGCCGCGGUAAUACGUAGGGUGCGAGCGUUGUCCGGAAUUAUUGGGCGUAAAGAGCUCGUAGGCGGCUUGUCACGUCGGAUGUGAAAGCUCGGGGCUUAACUCCGAGUCUGCAUUCGAUACGGGCUAGCUAGAGUGUGGUAGGGGAGAUCGGAAUUCCUGGUGUAGCGGUGAAAUGCGCAGAUAUCAGGAGGAACACCGGUGGCGAAGGCGGAUCUCUGGGCCAUUACUGACGCUGAGGAGCGAAAGCGUGGGGAGCGAACAGGAUUAGAUACCCUGGUAGUCCACGCCGUAAACGUUGGGAACUAGGUGUUGGCGACAUUCCACGUCGUCGUGCCGCAGCUAACGCAUUAAGUUCCCCGCCUGGGGAGUACGACGCAGCUAAACUCAAAAGGAUGACGGGGCCCGCACAGCAGCGGAGCAUGUGGCUUAAUUCGACGGC
rnacentral:rRNA from 1 species